GGAAGUAAAAAGAAAGAACAGCCCUUGAUGGAAACCGAAUGAGAAGCGAAUUAGGAUGUACACUGUCAGAGGCUCGACUUUCAAGUUCAUAAUUAUGGAAAUCAUUGAAAAGAACUGGUCCUUGGAAUUUACUUCAAUUAUUUCAUUGAUAAGAACAUAUCAACCACCUUUAUCUCAGAAGUGAAUAAGAAGCUUUGACCAAAAGGAACAUUUUUCAGGAAAUAUAUUAUACCAGUGGUAAGGGUGAGGAAAUUGAAAAUCAGU